GACGAACGCUGGCGGCGUGCUUAACACAUGCAAGUCGAACGAGUGGCGAACGGGUGAGUAAUACGUGUGUAACCUGCCCUCUUUUUGGGAUAAGCCUUGGAAACGGGGUCUAAUACCGGAUAAGGGGGUAGGGGCGCGGGGCCUGUUGGCUUGUUGGUGGGGUAACGGGCUACCAAGGCGGUGCCGGGUUGCGGGCCUGAGCGGGUGAACUGCCACAGUGAGACGGCGAAACGGCCUAGGCGAGGAAGGGGGGGAGCAGUGGGGGAUAUGGCACAAUGGGCGAAAGCGUGAUGCCGCGACGCCGCGUAGGGCAUGAGGGCUUUCGGGUUGUAAACCUCUUUAGCAAUCGAUCGGGUAGCUGGAGAAGAAGCGCCGGCUAACUACGUGCCAGCAGCCGCGGUAAUAC
rnacentral:rRNA from 1 species